GUAAGCAUAUCAAUAAGCGGAGGAAAAGAAACCAACAGGGAUUGCCCUAGUAACGGCGAGUGAAGCGGCAACAGCUCAAAUUUGAAAUCUGGCGCAAGCCCGAGUUGUAAUUUGUAGAGGAUGCUUCUGGGUAGCGACCGAUCUAAGUUCCUUGGAACAGGACGUCAUAGAGGGUGAGAAUCCCGUAUGUGACCGGCCCGCGCCCUUUACGUAGCUCCUUCGACGAGUCGAGUUGUUUGGGAAUGCAGCUCUAAAUGGGAGGUAAAUUUCUUCUAAAGCUAAAUACCGGCCAGAGACCGAUAGCGCACAAGUAGAGUGAUCGAAAGAUGAAAAGUACUUUGGAAAGAGAGUUAAACAGCACGUGAAAUUGUUGAAAGGGAAGCGCCUGCAACCAGACUUCGCGGCAGUGUUCCGCCGGUCUUCUGACCGGUUCAUUCUCUGUCGCGAGGCCAUCAUCGUCUGGGCCCGCCGGAUAAGACCUUAGGAAUGUAGCUCACCUUCGGGGGAGUGUUAUAGCCUAGGGUGAUGCGGCGAGGCUCGGGCGAGGUCCGCGCUUCGGCAAGGAUGAUGGCGUAAUGGUUGUCGGCGGCCCGUCUUGAAACACGGACCAAGGAGUCUAACAUCUAUGCGAGUGUUCGGGUGUCAAACCCCUACGCGUAAUGAAAGUGAACGGAGGUGGGAACCGCAAGGUGCACCAUCGACCGAUCCUGAUGUCCUCGGAUGGAUUUGAGUAAGAGCAUAGCUGUUGGGACCCGAAAGAUGGUGAACUAUGCCUGAAUAGGGUGAAGCCAGAGGAAACUCUGGUGGAGGCUCGCAGCGGUUCUGACGUGCAAAUCGAUCGUCAAAUUUGGGUAUAGGGGCGAAAGACUAAUCGAACCAUCUAGUAGCUGGUUCCUGCCGAA
rnacentral:rRNA from 1 species